rnacentral:rRNA from 1 species
UGGGGAAUAUUGCACAAUGGGCGCAAGCCUGAUGCAGCGACGCCGCGUGGGGGAUGACGGCCUUCGGGUUGUAAACCUCUUUCAGCAGGGACGAAGCGCAAGUGACGGUACCUGCAGAAGAAGCACCGGCCAACUACGUGCCAGCAGCCGCGGUAAUACGUAGGGUGCGAGCGUUGUCCGGAAUUACUGGGCGUAAAGAGCUCGUAGGUGGUUUGUCGCGUUGUUCGUGAAAACCGGGGGCUUAACCCUCGGCGUGCGGGCGAUACGGGCAGACUGGAGUACUGCAGGGGAGACUGGAAUUCCUGGUGUAGCGGUGGAAUGCGCAGAUAUCAGGAGGAACACCGGUGGCGAAGGCGGGUCUCUGGGCAGUAACUGACGCUGAGGAGCGAAAGCGUGGGGAGCGAACAGGAUUAGAUACCCCCGUAGUCC